rnacentral:rRNA from 1 species
UACGGGGGGAGCAAGCGGUUGUUCGGAUUUACUGGGCGUAAAGGGCGCGUAGGCGGCCACCGCAAGUCGACUGUGAAAUCUCCGGGCUUAACCCGGAAAGGUCAGCCGAUACUGCGGGGCUAGAGUGCAGAAGGGGCAACUGGGAAUUCUCGGUGUAGCGGUGAAAUGCGUAGAUAUCGAGAGGAACACCUGCGGCGAAGGCGGGUUGCUGGGCUGACACUGACGCUGAGGCGCGAAAGCUAGGGGAGCGAACGGG